AGUUGAUGACGUAGGGUACAGAGGUAAGAUGUUCUAUCUUUCAGACCUUUUGUUUCACGUUAUUGGAUUUGGCUGAUUCAGCUGCCCCAGUCUAUUUAUUGGACUGGGGCGUUUUUUA
rfam:Photobacterium iliopiscarium strain ATCC 51761 CFSAN029430_contig0012, whole genome shotgun sequence.